rnacentral:rRNA from 1 species
UACAGAGGUCCCAAGCGUUGUUCGGAUUCACUGGGCGUAAAGGGUGCGUAGGUGGUGGGGUAAGUCGGAUGUGAAAGCUCGGAGCUCAACUCCGAAAUGGCAUUGGAAACUACCCUGCUAGAGGAUUGGAGGGGGGACUGGAAUACUUGGUGUAGCAGUGAAAUGCGUAGAUAUCAAGUGGAACACCAGUGGCGAAGGCGAGUCCCUGGACAAAUACCUGACCACUGAGGCACGAAAAGCUAGGGGGAGCAAACAGG